ACGCUCGACACCUACGGAGGCAGCAGUGGGGAAUAUUGGGCAACGGGCGCAAGCCUGACCCAGCAACGCCGCGUGAAGGAAGAAGGCCCUCGGGUUGUAAACUUCUUUUGACAGGGACGAAACAAAUGACGGUACCUGUCGAAUAGGCCACGGCUAACUACGUGUCAGCAGCCGCGGUAAUCUGAGCGGGCUGGCAAGGC
rnacentral:rRNA from 1 species